GCACUAUAAAUAUGUCAUCUAAAAUAUAAACCAAACAUUGCCCCCAUCACCAACACACACACACAUACACCAGGCAGAAAAGUGAACAUUAAAAAAAAAUCUGCAGAAUUGAAAAUUUAUGGAAAGACAAUGAAUGUUUAAGGUUUAGAUGACAAAUGCGUACCAAAAGGGUCAAAGAAGACUGGUUUUAUUUUUUUGUAGUUUCUAUUAUUUAUCCAAUGUUAUGCUUAAAAUUCUUAACAAACAUAAGCAUGGGCCAGAGAAAAACAAUUAAAUCCUGCUAGAAAAGUACUUCUCAUCUUCAUAUUAAUUAAGAUAUAAAAAAUGAUGAAAUUCAGAGACAA
rnacentral:misc_RNA from 1 species